GUAAGGAAUAUUGGUCAAUGGAGGCAACUCUGAACCAGCCAUGCCGCGUGCAGGAAGACUGCCCUAUGGGUUGUAAACUGCUUUUAUCCGGGAAUAAACCUACUUACGUGUAAGUAGCUGAAUGUACCGGAAGAAUAAGGAUCGGCUAACUCCGUGCCAGCAGCCGCGGUAAUACGGAGGAUCCAAGCGUUAUCCGGAUUUAUUGGGUUUAAAGGGUGCGUAGGCGGCCUGUUAAGUCAGGGGUGAAAGACGGUAGCUCAACUAUCGCAGUGCCCUUGAUACUGAUGGGCUUGAAUGGACUAGAGGUAGGCGGAAUGAGACAAGUAGCGGUGAAAUGCAUAGAUAUGUCUCAGAACACCGAUUGCGAAGGCAGCUUACUAUGGUCUUAUUGACGCUGAGGCACGAAAGCGUGGGGAUCAAACAGG
rnacentral:rRNA from 1 species